rnacentral:lncRNA from 1 species
UAAUUAUAAGAUCCUUUUGAGAAUUUUUUUUGUCCCUUUUUAUAAGACUCACUUGCUAUUUCCACCUACAUUAAUUAUUUAUUUACAUACAUGCCCCUAUUAAUUAUACAUAUUUUUCUUCAAUCAACAAUAAAUAACAAUGUUGAAAACAUAAACCAUCUUUCUCUUAAAGGAUAAAAUUGUAAAAACAAUACUAAUUACAAACAUAUUUAAUACAAAU